rnacentral:rRNA from 1 species
GCAAGUCGACUGGAAUUCUUCUUCGGAAGAUAGUACGGUGGCGGACGGGUGAGUAACGCGUAAAGAAUUUGCCCUUCAGACUGGGACAACUAAUCGAAAGGUUAGCUAAUACCGGAUAUUAUGAGACCUUGGCAUCAAGGACUUAUGAAAGCUAUAUGCGCUGGAGGAGAACUUUGCGUUCCAUUAGCUAGUUGGUAGGGUAAUGGCCUACCAAGGCAACGAUGGAUAGCCGGCCUGAGAGGGUGAACGGCCACAAGGGGACUGAGACACGGCCCUUACUCCUACGGGAGGCAGCAGUGGGGAAUAUUGGACAAUGGACCAAAAGUCUGAUCCAGCAAUUCUGUGUGCACGAUGAAGGUCUUCGGAUUGUAAAGUGCUUUCAGGUGGGAA